AUUCGAUAUGCUGAUUAUACGUCUCCUCCAUAUUGGACGCGGAGAACCUUACUGGAGAUUGGAGAAGUUUCUACUUGUAGCACUUGUGUAUUUACUAUUUACUAUUUAUUUAUUUUUUUGUUGUGUAUACAAAAUACAAAUUAUACAAAAUAUAUUAGAUAAUAAUAAUAAUAAUAAACAUACGAUUCGUAUGGUAUGUCUCGAACAAUAAUUUAUAGUAAGUUUAUAGUUUAUUGAUAUCAAUGAUAUCUCAACAAAUCAAUUUGUGUUCGUUCCAGAUUCCAAAGCGUCGUAUUUUGUUCUCUACUAUCUACUAUCUGGUGAGUUGACGAGUGCAAUUUUUCAUUCUAUUCAUCAUUGAAUUUGUCCAACAAAAAAAAAAAAUAACAGGUACAAUAAUCCGCGAGAGAUCUGUCAAUCUGUGUUGCAUGAUACCAUGACCUACUGAUUUGACCAGCAAUCAUAAACUUUUAUAAGUAUAUUCAUAAUUCUUUUUUUUUCCUAUUCUGCAUAUAUAUUAAUUAGUAAUUACUAUUAUUUACACCCAUUGGGGUGCUAUAUAAUUUUUAGACCUGACUAUCUGACACAAACUAUACCAUUUGAUCACCAACCCAUAGCCUUUUAAUCUAAAUUUUUUUUUACUUAAUCGUAUAAAUAUUAACUAAAUCCAUUGUCUGGUAGUCACCUGCCCUUUUAUGUACCAUUACUUACACCUACUCUUACAUGAUGACUCAACAGAUUGAGACAUAUUAAAAAAAAAAAGGCAUUUUUAUUUCCUGUUGACCUGCAUUCAUUGUUAUUCAGUGAGUAGGUUAACUGGAAUACAAUUUGAAGACACAGUUUGAAUUAUGGUGUCAGUAUUCAAUUAAGUUUCAUAUUAAAACACCUGAGUAGUUUUACAAGUCAAUUCACAGCUUUUAUUUGUACCUAUGUCAUUGAGUAAGUUCUAGUUUGUUAUAUUUUAUGGGACAUUAGUACUACAGUGGAUUCCGCCUAAUGUAUUCAGGUUUUAUGACUAAACGGCUUAAUGUGGGCAAACAGGGUUGGUUCCAACGUGCCCACAUAAGCGGAAUCCAUUGUAAUACAAAAAGUUAUAAUUUAAAUACUAUAGAAUUGUAUUCUGGGUUAUUUUGUCUACCACAAUUCUUAAACAAAAACGUAUAAAAGUAUUCGUAUUAUAUUUUUGAUAUGUAAUUAACAUUUAGUUUUAUUUAUCUUAUGAUUUUUUUAUGUUUAUUAGGUAUUUAUAAAGUAAAAAUAAUUUAUUAAAAAAAAUAUUUGGAUUGUAAAUUGUAUAUCACGAUGAUACAAAUUACAACGCAGUAAUGUAAAUUAAUAGAUUGACAAUUUUAUUUAACCAACUGGCAACAGUAUAUUAUCAAGUUAUAUUGUAGGUUAGGUUUUAAUUACUAAAAUUAAUCAUAGUUAUAAUUUUGUGGACCCAACCACUGAAACACAGAUUCAUGAAACAAAUUAAUAUCUUUGAAGAUCGGAAAAGUGGCGAAACAAAAAGUAGAGAAAUAUAGUUUGACAUUAUCUAGAUUUACUGAAUUUUUUAGCAAUAAAACUUAAUAAACAAUCCAUUUUCAAAAAUCAUUAUAGAUAUUAACCUAAUCUAAUAUAUUUUCCUCUAUAAACAAAUUAUUAAUUUUGAAUUUUGAUUUUAAUUAUGGACAUAUUUAUUUUUUUAAAUUUUAAGGUACCUAUUUUAUAUAAUUAUAAGUUAUAAUAAAUUAUUUUUACUUCUUAAAUACCUAAUACCUAAUAAAUAUAAAAUAAUAGCUAUAUAACCUAACUUAUUCCAAUAAAAAAUCACCAAGUAUAAUAUAGAAUGAUAUUUUGAUGUAUUAAGUGUAUUGCUUUGUGAACUUCUUCAAUUGAGAUGGGCGAUCUCCCUAUUUCGGGUUAUAUCUAGGUAUAUAUUCGAACAUGAUUCAAGCUAUAACUUUUUUGAUAUCUUUAAGAAAAAAUUUUGAAAUUGGGAGAAAUUAUAGAGUAGUUUAUAAGUCUAUAUAAGCUACAAACAUACUGACAUAGUGACAUUGCUUUGGAUUGCGCUCAAAAAAUUUGAUUUUGCUAAAAACAUUGACUAAACUCUUCAUUAAUCUCAUUGACUCGACAAUAUUGUAGUUGUCUUGCUUUGCAUGUACACUGACCAAUAUUUUGAAGCUUUACUGAUGGCAUUUUUUCCAAAUAAAUAAAUCACAAACUGAAUGAUAACAUAGCAAAAUAUCAUUGACUAAUGACUAAGCUACUGUCAUGAAAUAAAUUUGUGUAAUUCAGCUUAGUAACUCAACAAUUGUUUUUGUUGAUUUGUAUGUCACCUUGAUAUAUGGACGAGCGAAAAAAGUACUUAAUUAUUAUAUUUUAUGUAACAAAUAAGCAAUUUUUCAGGUGGAUUAUCCAAAAAAAAAUUUUCAUACAAACCUUGUUCUGAUAUUUACUACAAACAUAAAACAAAAAAUCAGCCAAAUCUGUUGAACCGUUCUUAAGUGAUGAUCUCUCAUGCAUGAAGCAAUUGAUUUUUAUAUUUAUGAAUAUAUAACUAAAGGUUAAUUAAAUUUCAAAAACAUGAUAUGUUUACCUAUAUACUUUUUUAUUUAAAAACUAUGGUAGUCGAGAUAACUUGUUUGUUUAAUACCUAAAAUAGUCAUGAUUACCCCUCAAUUAUCAGUAUUAGAGUGAUAUGAUGAUGGUUUUGUACAGAAGUAUUUAAAAUUUAAUUUUUAGUUUGGAUUGAGAAGUCGGAAAAGGCAAAGUAUAAUGUUGACUUUUUUUCUUUUGUUUAUGGUGGAGGCCACAGCCCACAAGUUAGACAUUCGUCUAGUAUAAUUAGAUAAUACCUAGAUAUUUUAUUUUGUUGUGGAGACAGGAUUUACAUUGUUUAUUCAUUAUUAUUACUUUUUUUUUUAAGGGGCAUAAAAAAAGCUUUAACUUGUCAUGUAUAUGUACAUACAUACUUUCAUUUUAUUUUAUUGUAAUUAUUGAAUUACUUUAGUUAAUAAAGAAUUAUUAUUAUGACGACCAUGAUAAAAGCUCUCAUUUAACUAGAAAGAUCCCAGUACAAAACUUUUAUUUUUAUUAGUCCAAGGCAAUUGUAUCAAUGAAUUGCUGGGCUUGAUGUAUCAUAAAAUGUCUGGAUAAUUUAGUGGUCAUGUAAGAUAUAUCAAAUUCAAAAGAUAAUUAAUUUUUCAAACAAUUUUAUAUAUAAAUAAAUAUAAUAUAAAUUUGUUCAAAAACGAUUUUAUUUAAUUCAAUAUACUAGUUUAAUUUAAUAUUUUAU